UCACUUUCAACAACGGAUCUCUUGGCCCUCGCAUCGAUGAAGAACGUAGCGAAGUGCGAUAAGUAAUGUGAAUUGCAGUAUUCCGUGAAUCAUCGAAUCUUUGAACGCAUAUUGCACUUUCUGGUAUUCCGGAAAGUACGCCUGUUAGAGGGUCAGUU
rnacentral:rRNA from 1 species